rnacentral:rRNA from 1 species
AGGGUUUGAUCCUGGCUCAGAUUGAACGCUGGCGGCAGGCUUAACACAUGCAAGUCGAGCGGAAACGAGAAUAGCUUGCUAUUCGGCGUCGAGCGGCGGACGGGUGAGUAAUGCUUGGGAAUAUGCCUUGAGGUGGGGGACAACAGUUGGAAACGACUGCUAAUACCGCAUAAUGUCUACGGACCAAAGGAGGGGAUCUUCGGACCUUUCGCCUUUAGAUUAGCCCAAGUGAGAUUAGCUAGAUGGUGGGGUAAUGGCCUACCAUGGCGACGAUCUCUAGCUGGUUUGAGAGGAUGAUCAGCCACACUGGGACUGAGACACGGCCCAGACUCCUACGGGAGGCAGCAGUGGGGAAUAUUGCACAAUGGGCGAAAGCCUGAUGCAGCCAUGCCGCGUGUGUGAAGAAGGCCUUCGGGUUGUAAAGCACUUUCAGCGAGGAGGAAAGGGAUGUAGUUAAUAACUGCAUUCUGUGACGUUACUCGCAGAAGAAGCACCGGCUAACUUCGUGCCAGCAGCCGCGGUAAUACGAGGGGUGCAAGCGUUAAUCGGAAUUACUGGGCGUAAAGCGUGCGUAGGUGGUUUGUUAAGCAAGAUGUGAAAGCCCCGGGCUCAACCUGGGAACUGCAUUUUGAACUGGCAGGCUAGAGUAUUGUAGAGGGUAGUGGAAUUUCCAGUGUAGCGGUGAAAUGCGUAGAGAUUGGAAGGAACAUCAGUGGCGAAGGCGGCUACCUGGACAAAUACUGACACUGAGGCACGAAAGCGUGGGAGCAAACAGGANUANAUACCCUGGUAGUCCA